rnacentral:rRNA from 1 species
UAAACUAGGAUUAGAUACCCUAUUAUUAGAAAUAAUACAUUGUUAGUAAAUAAUAUUUAUGAAAACAAAAAAUCAUGGCGGUAUCUUAAGCUUUUCAGAGGAAUUUGCUCUUUAAUGGAUAAAACACCUAAAUCUUACUAAAAUUGGUUAAGACAGUUUGUAUACCACUAUUUAAGUAAUUAUUAAUUAUAAUUGCUGUAAAUUUUAAACAGAAAAAAAGUUAAGUCAAGGUGCAGCUAAAAUUUUAGGAUGAAGUGAAUUACAAUGCUUUUUAGAAAAUACAUUUUUUAAAAGAAAAUUAGGAUUUGAAAGUAAAGAUUUUAAUAGAAUGAUUAAUUGAAUUAAGCUCUGGGAUAUGUACAUAUCGCCCGUCACUCUUUAA